CAAUAUAUAUUUUGUAAAGGUCUGACACGGGGGAUACUCUAAGCGAUACGUCUGGUGACAUCACAGACAUGGAUGCAGAACCAGACAGUGAUGUAGAGCAGGACUUGGACCAGAUGCUGGGAACAUGGCUCGGGGAACUGGAAACAAUUACACAGUCAAUUGAUGCAGACAUACAUGUAGGUCAGCAGAGCCAACCAGCCCCUCUGCCUCCCCAUCAGUCAACCCUUGGCUCAUUAGACAACUUCAGCUUCUCAGCUUUCCAGCUAGCUCGUAAGUUUCUGUUCUUAAUAUAUAGGCUUCCUUUU
rnacentral:lncRNA from 1 species